rnacentral:lncRNA from 1 species
ACACACUAUAUUACGCACACAUGGACAACUUAAAAAAGGGAGAAGAAACAACAAAAAGGGAAGAAAACACUCAGAGAUUACAAAAAAUCAUACGGGAAAAGGAGAAAAGAAGCAAUAGAAGUAGAAAAAAACCAAAAAAGCAUUGGAGAGAAAACCCAGAUGAAUAAAAAAGGACAACAAUUGUAGACAAAAAAAUAAGCUACAAAGAAACAGUGAGAAAACA